CCUACGGGCGGCUGCAGUGGGGAAUAUUGCACAAUGGGCGCAAGCCUGAUGCAGCCAUGCCGCGUGUGUGAAGAAGGCCUUCGGGUUGUAAAGCACUUUCAGCGGGGAGGAAGGCGGUGAGGUUAAUAACCUCAUCGAUUGACGUUACCCGCAGAAGAAGCACCGGCUAACUCCGUGCCAGCAGCCGCGGUAAUACGGAGGGUGCAAGCGUUAAUCGGAAUUACUGGGCGUAAAGCGCACGCAGGCGGUCUGUCAAGUCGGAUGUGAAAUCCCCGGGCUCAACCUGGGAACUGCAUUCGAAACUGGCAGGCUAGAGUCCUGUAGAGGGGGGUAGAAUUCCAGGUGUAGCGGUGAAAUGCGUAGAGAUCUGGAGGAAUACCGGUGGCGAAGGCGGCCCCCUGGACAAAGACUGACGCUCAGGUGCGAAAGCGUGGGGAGCAAACAGGAUUAGAUACCCUAGUAGUC
rnacentral:rRNA from 1 species